UACGUAGGUGGCAAGCGUUAUCCGGAUUUACUGGGUGUAAAGGGAGCGCAGGCGGCUUUGCAAGUCUGAUGUGAAAGGCCGGGGCUCAACCCCGGGACUGCAUUGGAAACUGUAAAGCUAGAGUGCCGGAGAGGUAAGCGGAAUUCCUAGUGUAGCGGUGAAAUGCGUAGAUAUUAGGAGGAACACCAGUGGCGAAGGCGGCUUACUGGACGGCAACUGACGCUGAGGCUCGAAAGCGUGGGGAGCAAACAGG
rnacentral:rRNA from 1 species